rnacentral:rRNA from 1 species
GUAGGGAAUAUUGGGCAAUGGAGGAAACUCUGACCCAGCAACGCCGCGUGAAGGAUGAAGGUCUUCGGAUUGUAAACUUCUGUUAUAGGGGAAAAAGAAAGUGAUGGUACCCUAUGAGAAAGCUACGGCAAACUAUGUGCCAGCAGCCGCGGUAAUACAUAGGUAGCAAGCGUUAUCCGGAAUAACUGGGCGUAAAGGGUGCGUAGGUGGCUUGGUAAGUCACAUGUGAAAGCCCUCGGCUUAACCGAGGAACUGCAUGUGAUACUGCUAAGCUAGAGUGCGAGAGAGGUAAGUGGAAUUCCAAGUGUAGCGGUAGAAUGCGUAGAGAUUUGGAGGAACACCAGAGGCGAAGGCGGCUUACUGGCUCGUAACUGACACUGAGGCACGAAAGCGUGGGGAGCAAACAGGAUUAGAUACCCUAGUAGUCC